UACGGGGGGGGCAAGCGUUGUUCGGAAUUACUGGGCGUAAAGGGCUCGUAGGUGGUCAACUAAGUCAUACGUGAAAUCCCCGGGCUCAACCCGGGAACUGCGUCCGAUACUGGCAGGCUUGAAUCCGGGAGAGGGAUGCGGAAUUCCAGGUGUAGCGGUGAAAUGCGCAGAUAUCGGGAGGAACACCAAUGGCGAAGGCAGCUCGCUGGGACGUUACUGACGCUGAGACGCGAAAGCGUGGGGAGCAAACAGG
rnacentral:rRNA from 1 species